AUUGAACGCUGGCGGCAUGCCUUACACAUGCAAGUCGAACGGUAACAGGCCUUCGGAUGCUGACGAGUGGCGAACGGGUGAGUAAUACAUCGGAACGUGCCCGAGAGUGGGGGAUAACGAAGCGAAAGCUUUGCUAAUACCGCAUACGAUCUCAGGAUGAAAGCAGGGGACCGCAAGGCCUUGCGCUCACGGAGCGGCCGAUGGCAGAUUAGGUAGUUGGUGGGAUAAAAGCUUACCAAGCCGACGAUCUGUAGCUGGUCUGAGAGGACGACCAGCCACACUGGGACUGAGACACGGCCCAGACUCCUACGGGAGGCAGCAGUGGGGAAUUUUGGACAAUGGGCGCAAGCCUGAUCCAGCCAUGCCGCGUGCAGGAUGAAGGCCUUCGGGUUGUAAACUGCUUUUGUACGGAACGAAAAGACUCUGGUUAAUACCUGGGGUCCAUGACGGUACCGUAAGAAUAAGCACCGGCUAACUACGUGCCAGCAGCCGCGGUAAUACGUAGGGUGCGAGCGUUAAUCGGAAUUACUGGGCGUAAAGCGUGCGCAGGCGGUUAUGUAAGACAGAUGUGAAAUCCCCGGGCUCAACCUGGGAACUGCAUUUGUGACUGCAUAGCUAGAGUACGGCAGAGGGGGAUGGAAUUCCGCGUGUAGCAGUGAAAUGCGUAGAUAUGCGGAGGAACACCGAUGGCGAAGGCAAUCCCCUGGGCCUGUACUGACGCUCAUGCACGAAA
rnacentral:rRNA from 1 species